CUACAGUCAGCACUCAGGAGGUUGAGGCAAGAGGAUUGCUGCAAGUUUGAGGCCAGCCUGGGCUGCAUAGUGAAUUCAAGGCCAGCCUGAACUACAUAGUGAGAUCCUGGCUCAAAAAAAAGAAAGAAAGAAAGAAAGCUAACAUAUCCAUACUCAGCUGGCCUUGAGGUGCUGAGCUGAGUAACAGCCUGGACAUUGCUCAUGUUGGUGUUGCCUUUUAAAAUCUUCAUAACUGUUCUCUUGUCUGUUUCAGUAGGAAAAUUGUCUUAGUUACUUUUUUUGUUGCUGAGACAAGAUAUCUGACACCCAAAGUUAAAGAAGGAAAAGUUUAUUUCAGCUCACAGUUUGUAGAGGUUUCAGUUCAUAGUUGUCUGGCUCCAAGGCAGGACGGCAUGGCAGAGGGGCACCACAGAAGUGAAACAGUCCAUGGCAGGCAGAAAGUAGAGGCAGCAAGGCAGCAAGCGGCAAGCUACAAGAGACAAGCAGUGACCCUCUUUCCCUUAUAUGUUAUCCAUGUUGCCCCCUCUUAGGCCAAGUAGCACACCCAGGUUGGGGCAGCUUUAAUCUUAGCAUUGCACCAUGAAUCAAUCCCAGCAUCACAUCCUUGAUCCCAGCCCCACACACCCUAGAUACAGCCAUCUCUGAAAAGCCCCACCUAUGAUCGCAUGAAGCCAGAUACAUGUCAUAACAAAAACAUUUUUAUUUUUAAUUUUUUUUUUUUGCUUUUUGAGACAAGGUCUUGCUAUAUAGCUCAGGCUGGUCUUGGAGUCACUACGUAGCCCAGGCUGGCCUCAAACUUGCAGUGAUCCUCCUGCCUCAACCUCCUGAGUGCUGCAAUUACAGGCAUGCACCACUACACCUGGCACAGAAAGGUUUUAAAUGUGGUACUUUGGGUGAUAUUAGAGUGAUUACUGCAGGAGUAUGCACUCAAUAAAACUGGAUUUGUAUUUGCGAGGAGCACAUAUUUGGGGAACUACUUUAGCAAUGAAAAGGCCAUGGAUAUGGAGAAAGCAAGAAGCUACUAAUAUGGUGGGGAAGCUGGUGCUUCGUCACUUCAAUGUCCGGGGCAGGAUGGAGUCCAUCUGGUGGCUCUUGGCUGCAGCUGGAGGAGAGAUGGGCUUUUGAUGUUCCAGCAAGUACCAGUGAUGGAGAUGGAUGGGAUGAAGUUGCUGCAGACCAGAGCCAUUCUCAACUGCAUUGUCACCAAGUCUGUGGGAAAAAUAUAAAGGAGAGACUCCUGUAUGGAUAUUUUCUGUUGUUACAUGAGGAGACUACACAGGGAAGAUUUAGGU